rnacentral:misc_RNA from 1 species
AACGCACCUUGCACUCCCUGGUAUUCCGGGGAGUACGCCUGUUUCAGCAUCAUAAGUACCAUCGAUCCCCAAAUCUAUUUUGAUUUUUUGAUCGGAUCUGGGCCGUUGCGCGGUUGGGAUCUUUGGUCCCCCCUCCGCGCCGGCCUGAAAUCGAGAUCGCCUCCUCCCUUUACCCCGUUCAAAGGCGUCAUAGUUGGCCUCUUUUGGUCAUCUUUCGCCGAUGUCAGUGGGGUCGAGAUUGGGGCGGGCGAAAAACACAACUCUAAAUUUUUGAUCUGAAAUCAGGCGGGAUUACCCGCUGAACUUAA